rnacentral:rRNA from 1 species
GGUUGCGGCCAUAUCUACCAGAAAGCACCGUUUCCCGUCCGAUCAACUGUAGUUAAGCUG